rnacentral:rRNA from 1 species
AGUAGGGAAUCUUGCGCAAUGGGCGAAAGCCUGACGCAGCGACGCCGCGUGCGGGAAGAAGGCCUUCGGGUUGUAAACCGCUUUCAGGAGGGACGAAGCCACUCGGGUGAACAGCCCAGAGGGUGACGGUACCUCCAGAAGAAGCCCCGGCUAACUACGUGCCAGCAGCCGCGGUAAUACGUAGGGGGCAAGCGUUGUCCGGAUUCAUUGGGCGUAAAGAGCGUGUAGGCGGCCAGGUAGGUCGGUUGUGAAAACUGGAGGCUCAACCUUCAGAGGUCGACCGAAACCCCCUGGCUAGAGUCCGGGAGAGGAGAGUGGAAUUCCUGGUGUAGCGGUGAAAUGCGCAGAUAUCAGGAAGAACACCCGUGGCGAAAGCGGCUCUCUAGAACGGUACUGACGCUGAGACGCGAAAGCGUGGGGAGCGAA